GAUUAUUAUCCUUCCAGCUCUUUUUUUAAAUCUGAAAUUUAGACUGCACUAACAUUUAAACUUGAAUUGAACCAGAUUCAGUUUUAUUCCUGAGAGUUCAUUUGAUAGAGAAAGAACCAUUUCUUUGUGUUUGUCUUUACUGUUUUACAGUAAGCUCGCAUAGGUUCACUAGUCUUACUUUUUAAAAUACUCUUACCAAUAUUCUAGGUUAUUGAAUAAAACCCACAUCAUGUUCAUGAUGUGAAUGUAACACAUCAGAAGAUCUUUGAGCAGUAUGCAGCAUUUGUGCUUUAAACAUUCAGCACCUGUUUCCAGAGUCAUCUUGCAUACUCUUUUCUGUACAGGGAUUGGUGGUUUGAGGCCUGUAGGAGAAGGCAACUAAUCCAGGAACAUCUGAAUCCAAACACCAGGCAGCCAUUGUUCAGUUCUCAAGAGUCUGGAAAGUUUCCCUUGCCAAUAAUGAAAGGAGUACAUGAAAUCUGAAUUCAGCUGAGAGAUUUGUUUUAUCUCCUAUUGACCUGCAUGUCUGUCUUGAUCUCACAU